GCUAUUCGGCAGCUACACAUGCAGUCGAGCGGUAGAGGUCUUUCUGUUUCUUGUCUGCGGGGUAGGGGGGCGGAUCACGUGUGCGACCUGCCUUUUUCUGGGGGAACGCCUUUCCAAAGGGAAAGUAAUACCCCAUAAUAUACUGCAUGGCAAAUUCGGGAUUGACAACUCUUGUGCAUAUAGAUGGGCAUGCGCCAGAUUAGAUAGUUGGUGAGGUAACGGCUCACCAAGUCUGCGAUCUUUAGGGGGCCUGAGAGGGUGAUCCCCCACACUGGUACUGAGACACGGACCAGACUCCUACGGGAGGCAGCAGUGAGGAAUAUUGGACAAUGGGUGAAAGCCUGAUCCAGCCAUCCCGCGUGAGGGAAGACGGCCCUAUGGUUUGUAAACUUUUUUUGUAUAGGGAAAAACCUUUCCGCUUGUGGCAAGCUGAAGGGACUAUACCAAUAAGCACCGGCUAACUCCGUGCCGGCGCCCGCACCCCAACAC
rnacentral:rRNA from 1 species